rnacentral:rRNA from 1 species
AACGAACGCUGGCGGCAGGCCUAACACAUGCAAGUCGAACGCCCCGCAAGGGGAGUGGCAGACGGGUGAGUAACGCGUGGGAACGUGCCUUUCGGUUCGGAAUAGGCCGGGGAAACCCGGGUUAAUACCGGAUACGUCCUUCGGGAGAAAGAUGUAUCGCCGAGAGAUCGGCCCGCGUCUGAUUAGCUAGUGGGCGGGGUAAGGGCCCACCAAGGCGACGAUCAGCAGCUGGUCUGAGAGGAUGAUCAGCCACACUGGGACUGAGACACGGCCCAGACUCCUACGGGAGGCAGCAGUGGGGAAUAUUGGACAAUGGGCGCAAGCCUGAUCCAGCCAUGCCGCGUGAGUGAUGAAGGCCCUAGGGUUGUAAAGCUCUUUCGGCGGGGACGAUAAUGACGGUACCCGCAGAAGAAGCCCCGGCUAACUUCGUGCCAGCCGCCGCGGUAA